rnacentral:rRNA from 1 species
UACGUAGGGUGCAAGCGUUGUCCGGAAUUAUUGGGCGUAAAGAGCUCGUAGGCGGUCUGUCGCGUCGGCUGUGAAAACCCGGGGCUCAACCCGGGCCUGCAGUCGAUACGGGCAGACUAGAGUGCGGUAGGGGAGACUGGAAUUCCUGGUGUAGCGGUGAAAUGCGCAGAUAUCAGGAGGAACACCGGUGGCGAAGGCGGGUCUCUGGGCCGUAACUGACGCUGAGGAGCGAAAGCGUGGGGAGCGAACAGG